rnacentral:rRNA from 1 species
UGGGGAAUAUUGGACAAUGGGGGGAACCCUGAUCCAGCCAUGCCGCGUGUGUUAAGAAGGCCUUAUGGUUGUAAAGCACUUUAAGCGAGGAGGAGGGUACUGGUAUUAAUACUACCAGGUACUGGACGUUACUCGCAGAAUAAGCACCGGCUAACUCUGUGCCAGCAGCCGCGGUAAUACAGAGGGUGCGAGCGUUAAUCGGAUUUACUGGGCGUAAAGCGUGCGUAGGCGGCUAAUUGAGUCGGAUGUGAAAUCCCCGAGCUUAACUUGGGAAUUGCAUUCGAUACUGGUUAGCUAGAGUGUGGGAGAGGAUGGUAGAAUUCCAGGUGUAGCGGUGAAAUGCGUAGAGAUCUGGAGGAAUACCGAUGGCGAAGGCAGCCAUCUGGCCUAACACUGACGCUGAGGUACGAAAGCAUGGGGAGCAAACAGG